rnacentral:rRNA from 1 species
AACGAGCGCAACCCUUGUCCUUAGUUACCAGCACGUUAUGGUGGGCACUCUAAGGAGACUGCCGGUGACAAACCGGAGGAAGGUUGGGGAUGACGUCAAGUCAUCAUGGCCCUUACGGCCUGGGCUACACACGUGCUACAAUGGUCGGUACAAAGGGUUGCCAAGCCGCGAGGUGGAGCUAAUCCCAUAAAACCGAUCGUAGUCCGGAUCGCAGUCUGCAACUCGACUGCGUGAAGUCGGAAUCGCUAGUAAUCGUGAAAUCAGAAUGUCACGGUGAAUACGUUCCCGGGCCUU